AUGAGGACCCGGACCCGUGUGUUGGAAUCUUGUCGUCUCAACGGAAGCCCUAAAUUGGUGAUUUUCACAUUGCUUUUUCUCUUGGAGCCUCCGCUUCAUCUCUGUGUAAAGUUAAGGAUACAAGCUCCAUUGUCAGCCAGGGAGACCGUAGCAGGCUUCCUCAGAGGGGCCGAGGAAGAAUCCAAUGAGAUCGUGGAGAUUCAAGGGCAAGGUGCUAACAUGGGCUGGGCCACGGUGAGGACUUCAUGGUGGAUGGUAGCUGGCAUCACAACAGUGGAAGCCCAUGUGAAAGGAAGAGUUUGUAUCUUGGAACAGGAAACCAGAGAGAGACUCAGGUCAGGUUUCAGCUCUUGUAAGAACUCACGUUGGGAGAACACCAUUCCCUUUUGGGGGCAAUGUCCCCAAGAGCACUAGGCCCCACUUCUACAAGGUCUCUACCAUUUUCCAGUACCACCACCUUCGGGACCAAACCAGGGACAUCAUAUGCUACCAAAACAUGGGUCUUCCUAACAGUCUUUUCGAUUAGGUGAUGUUAUUUUAUCCCUCUUACACAGAAGGAAACUAAGGCACAGAUAACCAUAGUAUCUUGUCCAAGUUGCAUAGCUUCUAAAUGGCAGUGUUAGUAUUUGGAUUGCAGCACAUCAUAAACUUCACAAAAGCCUCCUAAAUUAUUAUUGUCAUCACCAUCAAAUCUUACCUGGAGGCUCACUGUGUGCAUGCAAAUUGGAGCAGCUCUGGUGGGCACAGGAGUGGGAAGCCUACGUUCAUUCCUAUGCUUCCGGGGUGGCCACUGAGGUAGCUCCUUGGAAAACAAACACCACAAGGAAACCACUGGCCUUCCUAAGGCUGACAGAGAAAAGCAAAGAGCAGAAAACGAAAACAGGCUGAUGGGUCUCAAUACAGUAUGCUGUAUACAGUGCUUUAUUUGACUUACCAGACACUUCUGACAGAACUACUUUGCCUGUCAUUCCACAACUAAGCGCCUGCAUCUUUUAGUAUGACAAACAAGGACCACCACAACAGUGUGUUGUCUUGGGCUCGCUGUUAUGAGUCCAAACAUGGGUACAAUGCCACAUCGAGAGGGUUUAGUGUUACAAUUUAUAUGCAAAUAACAAGUUAAACUGUUUGAAAAUUGUUAAUUUAUUUGUUCAGUCAUUUAACAAAUACUGAUAGAAUACAAAGUAUGAAUCAGACAUGGUUCUUGCACUGGCCAGAAAUACUGAAGCAGAAACCCAGCCACAGACUCGUUCACCUCCUCUGUCUUGGUCCUGUCCCUUGGCACCCAUGAGUGCCCCGUUGCCUGCCCCUGUCCUCCUGUGUGCAGUCUGGACGACCACUUCUUUGCUGCACCACCUUAACCCAGACCCUACAAUCUUUCCCCGUGAGUCCUUCCAUGUUCCAGAAUCUUCUGUCUUCUCCUUUACCCAAGGCACCUGGUAUUUCAUUUGCUAUCUUCAGAAUCUCCCUCCCACCGCCUUCCAACCAGGGCUACCUCCUCCUGUAAAUUUAUGUCCCCUUUCAAGUCAGGCAGGAGGCUGGGAUCUCUUUUAGCAGGGCCAUGCUGAAGGGACAGGGCUGCCAUAGCUCCUAACUUGCUGGAAUAUCAGGAGGCUUCACCUCAGCAACUCAGGUCACACCUGGCACAGGCCCAGGCACCUAACAGAGCCUCAGUGAUGUGUGAUUUCCCCUCUUCCCGAAGAACACGGUGGCUGAAUUGAAAUACCGUGUGAUCAGUCACAAUUUAUGCAUUGUUAUACAUCAAGGACUUAAAUAUAUGGAGGUCAUUUUUUCCUUUUGUAAGUUAUCAUCAAAUAGAAUUUAUGAACCCUCAGAUUCAUGGGGUUGGGAUGCACAGUAUAAAACUGAGGCAAUAAAGCUCUAUUCCACACUUUUGCUCAGAACUUCUUGCACACACAUUUUUGUAACCUAAUAAUAUCUUGCAGUUGUAAAACUGAUUUUCAACUUGGACAUUUGCUACCAUACUGUGUUUGGCAUUGUUUCACACUUACAUUAACUAGUUGUGUGUACCGAUGAGGAGAGUUUUAAUUUUUCACAAAUAAUUUGGGUACCUGGAUUUAUAUGUGUUGUAAACAGAAGAGCCAAUUGACAAGUGAGAUUUGCACUGAAGUGAUUUCACAUGCAGCAACUUCUCAGAUCAAUUAAUUAAUUAAUUGUUUCACCUCUCAAGCAUUUAUUAAGAGGAUGCACUCAGUAAAUUAUCAGGCCAGGGGCCGAUUAUAUGAAGGUGAGGGUUUCUUGGGCUACAAGCAGAGAAGGAUUGCUGUGUGGUGUGUGCAGACUGCAGUAGAGCACUGUGGUCAUAGCUUGGUGGUGGCAGAAAAGCAGGAGCAGUCAACUCACAAGUCUUACAAUGCAGAUUUUGUUAUUGUUCAGGUAUGACGAGGCCAAGAGAUCAACAGAUGACUGCACAGAAAGAUGCUUUGGAGGCACCUGGAAAAGGAGCAGGGUCGGUAGGUGGUGGCUAGGUGUGUACGGAAAGUACAGUGUGAGCAAGAGCCUGCCUUGUGUUUGGGAGAGGCAGGGUAAGCGGGUUUAGGACUGGCUAGUUUGAGCAAUGUUCGCAGACUCUGGAGCAGGAGGUUGUCCCUGGUUGUUUGGUAGUUGGGACUGGGUAGUUACGGUAGGUGGAUGCAAGCUGACACAGGAGGCAUCUGGGGGUGUGUGGCCUUUGGACUGCUUAGUUUGCCCAUCACAGGAGCGCUUCCUUUGUGGUUAUUGGCUCUCUCUAGGAAUUACCUAACCCUUGGCACUGCAAAGCCCAAGAUGUCACAGCACCAAAAUAUACAAAACAAAAAUUAUAGCUAAUAUGACCAAGUGAGGCUAGGGCAGCCAGGAGGAGGAACCUAAACCAGGUGGCAAAGGGCUUUCUGGGCAGAUGGUUCAACUUAUGAAAAUGACCAGGUGUGUGGAAAAAAUGGGUUGUAUUGCGUAUGUGUGGGCUCCGCAGUAAGAAUGCAACAUGAAUAAAGAGGCUGGAGAGGAAGUGUGUGUAAUGUAGGCUGGGCCAGUUUAUGAAGUUUACUGGGUUAAGGACGUUGUACUUUAUUUGAAAGACAGUAGGGAUAGCUGAAGGAGGAGGAGAGUGACAAUGAUUUUAGUUUACUUCUGUUUUAUGAAAAUCUAUGCUACUAAAUCUAUGCUGCUUAAAAAUUAAUGAGGUUUCACAUUUCAUCUUUGUAAGAUAAACAUCAUGAUGUGUUUAGUACUUUCAGUGGUUGUGUAAAGAAUGUUUACUUUGCCUUUCCUGGGGAUUAUAAAUCCUUGGUGUUCCCUUUCCAGAGUCCAGCCGGCAGGUGGUAGAGCAGAGAGAACAGAGCAGGAAGCCAGUCAUUAGAAGACCAUUGUUUCUUCCAUUGAUUGAGUCAUCUAGUUUCUUCUCUGGGGAGAGGCCUAGUGGUUUAAACAUGAAAGAGAGCGUUUCUCAGGCUGUCAGCCUGAGAGCCAUGCAAGGGGUGUGAAUUCUGACUCUGCCACUUACUGUGUGACCAGACACAAGUUACUUAGCUUUUGUCUGGGUUUCCUCAAACUGCAAAAUUGAAAUAGUAAGAAUACAUACAUUGUAGUUUUGAUAAGAGGAUUUGGAUUUGUUUUUUACCCUUCUUCAUGCCUCCAGACACCAAGUCUGAGCAUACCCGAGUUUCAUGCAGUGUUAUGGUAGUAUACAAUAGGGGACCAGAGAAGGCACCUGAUAGCAGAGUAAAGGGCAAUAGGAUUGUGCAUA
rnacentral:lncRNA from 1 species